ACGCUCGACACCUACGGGAGGUAGCAGUGGGGAAUAUUGCACAAUGGGGGAAACCCGUGAUGCAGCGACGCCGCGUGGAGGAAGAAGGUCUUCGGAUUGUAAACUCCUGUUGUUGGGGAAAAAGAGGAUGGUACCCAACAAGGAAGUGACGGCUAACUACGUGCUAGCAGCCGCGGUAAUCUGAGCGGGCUGGCAAGGC
rnacentral:rRNA from 1 species